rnacentral:lncRNA from 1 species
CAAAUAGGAAUGUCCUUUUUCUGGUAUUCGCCCCAAACAUGAAAUUCCACCCUUGCUGCGAGAUUCGAAGCUGUGGAUCGAUGAAAUAAGGUAUUAUGGCACCUAAACCACAUGGGGAAUCGAUGAUUCACGCAUAUUUUAUAGUGGAGUCGAAACAGUUACCUUGAACUCGUUGUGGACGGCAGUGGCUAAGGCAUGGGCAGAUCCGGCGAGAGUGGUUGUUGACUGGUCUGCGGCGCCGCUUUAGCACCAUUCUGUCGGCCAUCAAUGCUGGAUUCGGCUGCAACGAACACCUCCUCACUCGAUCUUUGUCGCCGCUUUUCAAAUCCACUUGGAGGUUUGGCCCAGGCAAGGAUCCACUCUAACAAAGCUCCAGGACAACGCCAAUGAUAUGGGAUGAAGAACCCACGCUCCGGGAAGUCCUCCGGGACACACCGGGCGACGGGAGCGGAUGGGCGGUGAGCUCGGGAUGCCGUCGUCGCCGUGAGCGCGUGCGCAGGAACGUGUGGGGGAAGACAGCGCCGGAACCUCGGUACCGUCCCCCUCGACCUGGGGCAAGAGAG